rnacentral:rRNA from 1 species
CAGGAUUAGAUACCCUGGUAGUCCACGCCGUAAACGAUGUCUACUUGGAGGUUGUGGCCUUGAGCCGUGGCUUUCGGAGCUAACGCGUUAAGUAGACCGCCUGGGGAGUACGGUCGCAAGAUUAAAACUCAAAUGAAUUGACGGGGGCCCGCACAAGCGGUGGAGCAUGUGGUUUAAUUCGAUGCAACGCGAAGAACCUUACCUACUCUUGACAUCCAGAGAAGCCAGCGGAGACGCAGGUGUGCCUUCGGGAACUCUGAGACAGGUGCUGCAUGGCUGUCGUCAGCUCGUGUUGUGAAAUAUUGGGUUAAGUCCCGCAACGAGCGCAACCCUUAUCCUUGUUUGCCAGCGAGUAAUGUCGGGAACUCCAGGGAGACUGUCGGUGAUAAACCGGAGGAAGGUGGGGACGACGUCAAGUCAUCAUGGCCCUUACGAGUAGGGCUACACACGUGCUACAAUGGCGCAUACAGAGGGCAGCAAGCUAGCGAUAGUGAGCGAAUCCCAAAAAGUGCGUCGUAGUCCGGAUUGGAGUCUGCAACUCGACUCCAUGAAGUCGGAAUCGCUAGUAAUCGUGAAUCAGAAUGUCACGGUGAAUACGUUCCCGGGCCUUGUACACACCGCCCGUCACACCAUGGGAGUGGGCUGCAAAAGAAGUGGGUAGUUUAACCUUUCGGGGAGGACGCUCACCACUUUGUGGUUCAUGACUGGGGUGAAGUCGUAACAAGGUA